rnacentral:rRNA from 1 species
CAUGCAAGUCGAGGGGCAGCAUGGUCUUAGCUUGCUAAGGCCGAUGGCGACCGGCGCACGGGUGAGUAACACGUAUCCAACCUGCCGUCUACUCUUGGACAGCCUUCUGAAAGGAAGAUUAAUACAAGAUGGCAUCAUGAGUCCGCAUGUUCACAUGAUUAAAGGUAUUCCGGUAGACGAUGGGGAUGCGUUCCAUUAGAUAGUAGGCGGGGUAACGGCCCACCUAGUCUUCGAUGGAUAGGGGUUCUGAGAGGGAGGUCCCCCACAUUGGAACUGAGACACGGUCCAAACUCCUACGGGAGGCAGCAGUGAGGAAUAUUGGUCAAUGGGCGAGAGCCUGAACCAGCCAAGUAGCGUGAAGGAUGACUGCCCUAUGGGUUGUAAACUUCUUUUACAAAGGAAUAAAGUCGGGUAUGGAUACCCGUUUGCAUGUACUUUAUGAAUAAGGAUCGGCUAACUCCGUGCCAGCAGCCGCGGUAAUACGGAGGAUCCGAGCGUUAUCCGGAUUUAUUGGGUUUAAAGGGAGCGUAGAUGGAUGUUU